rnacentral:rRNA from 1 species
UACGGAGGGUGCGAGCGUUGUCCGGAAUCACUGGGCGUAAAGGGCGCGUAGGCGGCCUGGUAAGUAGGGGGUGAAAUCCUGCGGCUUAACCGCAGGGCUGCCUUCUAAACUGUCAGGCUCGAGCACGGUAGAGGCAGAUGGAAUUCCCGGUGUAGCGGUGGAAUGCGUAGAGAUCGGGAAGAACAUCAGUGGCGAAGGCGGCUCUCUGGAACGGUACUGACGCUGAGACGCGAAAGCGUGGGGAGCGAACAGG